GCUCCCAUGGCGUAGUGGUCACUGCACUCGCCUUGCACGCGGGAGACCCGGGUUCGAUUCCCGGCGGGGUC
rfam:Asian citrus Psyllid, Diaphorina citri - Florida Strain, whole genome shotgun sequence.